rnacentral:misc_RNA from 1 species
UUUUUUGCCCUUCUGCUGUUAUCCCCUGCAUGAUUGAUUUCAAUCUAUCGAGCUCGAUCAACUACUACAUCAAAUGACUGAUCUGACAACAUAGCCAAGUUUGCAUACUUUCUGUCCAAUCCCUUCAGAAAUCUUUUUACUUUCAUGCUUUCUAUAGCUACGACAGUAGGAGCAUAUCUACUCAAUUCUAAGAACUCGGAAGCAUACUCCUCCACUAACCUGUUGUUCG